AGUUUGAUCAUGGCUCAGGACGAACGCUGGCGGCGUGCCUAACACAUGCAAGUCGAGCGGAGACAUACAAGUAGCAAUACGAGGAUGUUUUAGCGGCGGACGGGUGAGUAACGCGUGAGUAACCUGUCCCAAACUGGGGGAUAACGAGCCGAAAGGCUCACUAAUACCGCAUAAGACCACGAUGCCACAUGACAUUGAGGUCAAAGGAGCAAUCCGGUUUGGGGUGGACUCGCGUCUGAUUAGCUAGUUGGUGGGGUAACGGCCUACCAAGGCGACGAUCAGUAGCCGACCUGAGAGGGUGAUCGGCCACAUUGGAACUGAGACACGGUCCAAACUCCUACGGGAGGCAGCAGUGGGGAAUAUUGGGCAAUGGGCGAAAGCCUGACCCAGCAACGCCGCGUGAAGGAAGAAGGUUUUCGGAUCGUAAACUUCUAUCCUUGGUGAAGAUAAUGACGGUAGCCAAGAAGGAAGCCCCGGCUAACUACGUGCCAGCAGCCGCGGUAAUACGUAGGGGGCAAGCGUUGUCCGGAAUGAUUGGGCGUAAAGGGCGCGUAGGCGACCUGGUAAGUCUGGAGUGAAAGUCCUGCUUUUA
rnacentral:rRNA from 1 species